rnacentral:rRNA from 1 species
GGGGGACCAUCCUCCAAGGCUAAAUACUCCUGACUGACCGAUAGUGAACCAGUACCGUGAGGGAAAGGCGAAAAGAACCCCGGCGAGGGGAGUGAAAAAGAACCUGAAACCGUGUACGUACAAGCAGUGGGAGCACAGGUUUACCUGUGUGACUGCGUACCUUUUGUAUAAUGGGUCAGCGACUUAUAUUCUGUAGCAAGGUUAACCGAAUAGGGGAGCCGGAGGGAAACCGAGUCUUAAUUGGGCGUUAAGUUGCAGGGUAUAGACCCGAAACCCGGUGAUCUAGCCAUGGGCAGGUUGAAGGUUGGGUAACACUAACUGGAGGACCGAACCGACUAAUGUUGAAAAAUUAGCGGAUGACCUGUGGCUGGGGGUGAAAGGCCAAUCAAACCGGGAGAUAGCUGGUUCUCCCCGAAAGCUAUUUAGGUAGCGCCUCGUGAAUUCAUCUCCGGGGGUAGAGCACUGUUUCGGCUAGGGGGCCAUCCCGGCUUACCAACCCGAUGCAAACUGCGAAUACCGGAGAAUGUUAUCACGGGAGACACACGGCGGGUGCUAACGUCCGUCGUGAAGAGGGAAACAACCCAGACCGCCAGCUAAGGUCCCAAAGUCAUGGUUAAGUGGGAAACGAUGUGGGAAGGCCCAGACAGCCAGGAUGUUGGCUUAGAAGCAGCCAUCAUUUAAAGAAAGCGUAAUAGCUCACUGGUCGAGUCGGCCUGCGCGGAAGAUGUAACGGGGCUAAACCAUGCACCGAAGCUGCGGCAGCGACACUGUGUGUUGUUGGGUAGGGGAGCGUUCUGUAAGCCUGUGAAGGUGGCCUGUGAGGGUUGCUGGAGGUAUCAGAAGUGCGAAUGCUGACAUAAGUAACGAUAAAGCGGGUGAAAAGCCCGCUCGCCGGAAGACCAAGGGUUCCUGUCCAACGUUAAUCGGGGCAGGGUGAGUCGACCCCUAAGGCGAGGCCGAAAGGCGUAGUCGAUGGGAAACGGGUUAAUAUUCCCGUACUUGGUGUUACUGCGAAGGGGG